rnacentral:rRNA from 1 species
AACGAACGCUGGCGGCAGGCUUAACACAUGCAAGUCGAGCGCCCCGCAAGGGGAGCGGCAGACGGGUGAGUAACACGUGGGAACGUACCCUUUGCUACGGAAUAGCUCCGGGAAACUGGAAUUAAUACCGUAUGUGCCCUACGGUGGAAAGAUUUAUCGGCAAAGGAUCGGCCCGCGUUGGAUUAGCUAGUUGGUGGGGUAAUGGCCUACCAAGGCGACGAUCCACAGCUGGUCUGAGAGGAUGAUCAGCCACAUUGGAACUGAGACACGGCCCAAACUCCUACGGGAGGCAGCAGUGGGGAAUAUUGGACAAUGGGCGCAAGCCUGAUCCAGCCAUGCCGCGUGAGUGAUGAAGGCCUUAGGGUUGUAGAGCUCUUUCACCGGAGAAGAUAAUGACGGUAUCCGGAGAAGAAGCCCCGGCUAACUUCGUGCCAGCCGCCGCCGUAACAC